AGCAUAGGGACUCAGUCUAAGAACAUUGCAUCCUAAGAUAACGACUGAGUGACCAAAAUCGUGUUGG
rnacentral:sRNA from 1 species